UCCAAUCUGUCAGAACCCCGCUGUAUUCCUCGUAGUCACCACACCUUUGUGAUUCCUGAACCUGGAGGGGCGCAAAACCAAAAUUGAGUGGGUCAGUAAAACAAUUCUUUUCCAAAUCCAAACAUUUCUCAAAACGUUGUAACCCCUCUCCGUAAAACCUGUAUACUUUCCCAGAAAUGUAAAAUAUAAAUAUACAUAUAUAUUCUCAAUACUUCAUUUCACUUUUUCAACAUUUUUCAUAUCAGUUAUGCCAUGCCACAUCAUCUCAACAUUUCUCAUAUUAAUUAUGCCAUGCCACAUCAUCUCAACAUUAAUAAGGUAUGAAUGCAUUAACAUAAUCAUAUCAGGUGCAAGAAAGUAAUCAACCGUAGGCCCUCUAAUAGCCCUGUACGGUUGAACCUAGAGCUCAAAAUCUAUCAUUAUCACUCUACCGGAGUCACCUCUGUGACCCGUCCGGCCUUCUGCACGCAAGUUACGCUCUAGUGCUUCUCAUAAAUCAUCUGUGCACAUAAUCUAAGGUCACCCACCAGUCGGAAUCUCACUAACACUCUCGCGACUGGUCUGUCGUACCCACUCCGCGUGGACUGUACGACUAGCAUCUACUUGGAUCCAAGGCGAGCGUGCGAUGCGGUGAAUACUAUAAGCACUAAACCAUGGUGCAGGAUUUGAGCUCAAUAUAUAUCAUCAUCAUCAUAACAGUAAUUAAAUACUCAUCUGUGCGUCCACCGCACCAUUUCAUACAUAUGCAUCAUAAAUCAAUUCUUACCUGUGCGUCCACCGCACCAAUUCAUACAUAUGCAUCAUAUAUUAAUUCAUGCAUGGCAUUUCAACUCACAUUUCUAUAUACUUUUCAUAUCAAUUCUAUGCAUGGUAUUUCACUUCCCGUUUUUCCACAUAACUCAUAUGCAUUUCAUUUUAAACAUAAUUUCAUGCAUUUUCAAUUUCUGGGAAAACGUUAAGUAUAUAUAUAUAUAUACGGAAAACAAAACUGCCCACUCACCUGGAGUUCGCCCUACAACUCCCUAGCACAAUACGCCAAGGCGUCAUGACGAUCGGCGCCUAAAACAAUAAUCAAUUCCAACCUCAGAAUUCAUAUCGAUAGAAUAUAUAACUUAUAUAAAAUACGUCACUACGUAGAUUGAUCCGGAAGAUCCACCCCUCAGAUUUUAAAUCCAUAACUUCCAGAGGUCCACAUUAUACCUCUAGGACAACAACCUAAAAAUUUCAUUACCAUCCAACGGUCGGAUCUCCGUCAAUUUCCAAAACUAAGUGACGGUUAACAUUUUAUAUUAUGGACUUACAAUUCCAAUUCCGGAAGAUCCGUAACUCGGAUUCCCAAUCCGUAAGUUCCAAUAAUCCUCAAAUAUUACGUAUUACAACGUAUCAAAGUUUUGGUGACGAUCCAACGGUCGGAUCAUCAAUUCACAUUUUCACCUAAAUGUGAAAACUAUAAAACGUUAUUUGAACACCUAACCAACAAUCUUCAAUAACUUUCUCAUACGGUGUUCAAUUUAGGUAUAUGAAUAUACCACAGUGAUCUACUCGACGUCAUGGACGUCGACAUAUUUUUAAAAUAAUUUUUUUUUAUUUUUUAUUUUUACUGUAGCACCUUCUUCUUCCUUGGGUCGCCGGACUGGUUUUUCCGGCGGCCGUUUUCUGGGCAGUUUUUUCAAAUUGCCAUAACUUUGUCAUUUCUCAACGAAAUCAAGUGAUUCAAAAACGAAAGUUGUAGCCCUUGAAGAGACAAAGAGAAUGGUACCUUGCACAACACCUAGUUAGCCGUGGUUUGGCCGGAAACUGCCUCGAAAGCCUCGGAGGUCGCCGGAAACUGGGUAUUUUUCAAAUGAGUAUAACUUCUUCAAUACUCAACGAAAUUGAGUGAAACAAAAAGGAAAGUUGUAGUACUUGACGAGACGAAGAGAUUGAUACCUACCUCGACUCCUAACUCGCCGGGGAUUCGCCGGAAAAUUCCUCGAAAGCUCCGGCCAAACUUUGAACUUGUCAAUCUCCGUGUUCUUACGUCCAAAAACUUCCAACGAAGCACUCCGAGCUUCCUUGGGACCUCACUAAGCCCGCUGUGAUCUUGUUUUAGCCUAAAACGUAGUCAUUUAGAAGAUCAUGAACAGUACCAUUUCACGGGAACUUUGAAACUAGGGUUUUUCGAAGCAAAACUUACCUGAAAUUGAUGUCUACGUGAUCGUGGAAGUUCCAGGAGUCCAAAUGUGGUCUUAUCUUGGACGUUUGUUUAUGUUUUAGGUGGUUUUGGGUGAGGUUGAGCGUCGGAGAGGAAGAGAGAGAGAACUGAGAGUGAGAGAGAGUCGUGAGGGAAGAGAGAUAGAGAGACAAGGUACGGGAAUUGGGGAAGGUUUUGAGGGAUGUGGGGAUCCCACGUGUCCAACUCAAUCCAAAUUGUUAAAUUUUCGCCCCUUAGUCCCGUUUAAGGGCAUUUUCAUCUUUUCAUGUCCUCGGAAUUAAAAUUCCGGGACGGGCUGUCACAAUCUUCCCUCCUUAUAGAAUUUCGUCCCCGAAAUUCCAGCAACCAACUAAAUCAACCAUACUCCAACAAUAGCUUCGGGUAAAUCUUUCUCAUCCGAUUCUCUUUCUCCCACAUACUUUUCGACUGAAUGAUUUCCUUCACAAAGCUUUUACUACUUACUCUGUCUUAAUUCUCAGGACCUUCUUUUUCCAAUCCAAAGUCGUUCUUGGUUCCUUAUCAAGUCGAAUCCAAUUUAAUUCUCAAUAGUUGCACCAUAAUUCCAUGAGACGACUCUGUCACUUAGUGACAACGCAUCGAACACAAAAUACAUUAAGUACCGUUACCCUGUCUGGGAAAAAGUUAUUACUCAGCACUGGAGUAAUUGUACUAACUUGGUACAUUGAUCAACUAUCACUUCAAAUUCGAUCAUAACCAUCCUAUGUACAAGGAAACUUGUACACAUAAUCCAAAGUAAUAUCUUUCCAUUUCCAUUGCGAAACAGAAAAUAGUUAUCUCAAUCCAAAGGUUUAUCUCUUUCUGCCUCAAUCUGCUGACCAAAUAAAACUGUCGAAUGGUAUGAUAAAUCUUAUUACUUUUGGAAGAUUGCAGAAGUUGAACAGUGAACUUCGUCCAAUAUUUGCUUGCUUCAAAUCCUCAGCAUUAGGCACAUACUUUUUGUUUUCUUGUAUCCACAUACCAUUUGAUUCACGAAUCAUGUACUCAUUCUUAACUUUACUUUAGUUGGUUUCCAAUCCACAAGAAGAUAACCAUGGCAAGCGUACCAGAUAUUAAUUCUUACUGCAGUCUUCUUAUCAAGUGCUUCAGUUACAACAAUUCACGAUCGCCCUGAUCGUACAAUCAUAAUCACUAAGUAAUUCAAUCCACCCUUGUUGCCUCAUAUCAAAAUCCUUCCAAGUAAUGGAUAUUGAAGACUUUUUGGAUUCGUAAAAAAAAAUCUUGCAUUCUUAUCAACAUAUAAUGUCUCCAUAACUUCACAGCAAGGAUGAUAAUCGUGACUUCCAAAUCACCAGUAGGGUAAUUCAUCUCAUGAGGUUCCAUUUGUCGUGAAACAUAUACAAUCACCCUAACAUUUGCAUCAACAUGCCUCCAAUACCAUUCAAGAAACAUCACUAAAAAUUUAUGAUUACCACUAUUAUCUGGGAAUACCAAAAUACGUGCAUGAGUGAGGAAAUACUUCAGUUGUUGAAUCCUUUGCUCACAAUUUCCUUCCCACUCAUACAUAACCUCUUUCUCAACAGUCUCGUCAAUGACAAAGCAAUGACUGAAAAAUCUUUCACAACCAUCCAAGAUAGCCUGGUAAGCUAAGAAAUUCCGAAUCUCAAUUACAGUUCGUGGUUGUUCCAAUUCCUCAAUUUCUGCUAUCUUUUAAGGAUUCACUUGAAUACCUUAAGAAUAUAUAACAAAUCUCGGAAUGCCACCUGAUUCAUCUAACUUUAGCAUUUGCUACUUAGCAUACAACCGACAUUCUUCCAAUCUUUAUUCCACCGACUUAAUACGUUUACAUGCUCUGCUCUGGCUUCAGAAUAUGCCAGAAUAUCUUCAAUGAAAAUGAUAUCUAUUUAUCAAGGCAUUAUUGGAAUACUUCAUCCAAUAACUCAUAAAACAGCAUGAGUAUCCAUAUAGCAUCACCAUAGUUCAUAAAACAAUCUUAAGAACAACGUCGCUCAUAAUCUUUAAUUGGUAAUAACCAGACCUCAAUUCAAUCUUUGAAUCUUCGCACUUACUUCUGAGCUGGUUAAAUAAACAUCAGUACAUCACCAUGGAUAACGGUUCUCAAUCGUUACCCGACUCCAUUGUCUAUAAUCAAUGAACAGUCUCAAGAUCCAUUUUCUUCCUCACCAACAAACUGGGGCUCCUCAAAAGUGUUGUACUAGGUUGAAUGAAACUUUUAUCAACCAAUUCUUUCAACUGAAUUUCCAAUUCCCUUAACUCAUCCUGAACCAAUCUCCAAUAUAAAUUUAUACCUGGCAACAAAUCAAUAAUGAACCUCAUAUCUCUGCCUGAAGGCAAUCCAGGUAUACUUUCAAGGAAGACAUCAAGAAAAGUCUAACCCCUUUUUGACAUUAUUCACACUACUCCAAACAACAUCAUUUAGCACCACACGAGCUAAUAUUUUUGACAGCCUUUCGAAAACAAUCUCUUUGCUCUCACAGCAUAAAUAACGGCCUGACUCAAUCCACUUUGCAUACUUACAAAAGUAAUCUCUGGUCAUCCAGAUCGAUGGAAAGUACUGGUUUCCCAUAACAUUUCGUCUUGUCACAAUUAUAACCAACCAAUCUAAUGGAACAGAAUUAACUGAUACAAUAUAUAUUUUAUUAUUAUUAAGCAUUCCAAAUAAGUACAAUACUAACAUAAAAUAAUCUACCGGGUUGCUUGCUUAACGAAUCCACGAAUGAGUUAUUAAUAUUACGGUCUGCAGCCCGCAAUACUGAUAAAUCAUCGUUGUCUCGAUAAGUAGGCAACCACUCUCAAAGAUAUAACAUUACUAUUUUGUUACUCAAUGCAAAAUACAUACACUCGUCUCAACUACAUUUAUUUACUACUCUCUAGGUAAUAACAUACAUAAUAAGAAAUAUAUCAGCCGAAGUCAACUAGAAUGACCAAUACGGCUGAUUCAACUCUUAUCUCAAUAAUACGUCGGCCGGAUCCACUCCGCGUGGUCGGUACGGCCGAGCCUAUAACUCACCAAUUUCUCAUGUGUCAAUCGAAUCCACUUCUCAUGGUCUGUACGGCUGAACAUAUAACUCAUCAAAUCUCUCUGUACUCACGGUCAAUCCGACCAAACUACUAAAUCCAUAACUCUGCUGAAUCAACACUAUGAUGUCAUAGAAAACUGUUGGGUACAACUGAUUCUAGGGACGAUUCACAAUUCUGUGUCCCCUCUGUUCACAUAAACACAUUCAUUAAUUUCACACUUCCCAAAGUGUUAAUUUUGUACCUGCUGCACAAAGUACAUUUCCUUUACUCGAGACACCUUGUCUCAAAUAUCUGGGAUUACCAGUAUAUCCAUCACUUUUACUCUGACCAGCGACAUUAAAACCUCAGCUGGAAGAAUUAACUCUAGCUUCACUUCUUUCGAAGCUCUGAAUCUUUCUAUCUCCUUGAUAUGACGAAUCAUUAACUUUAUCGUCUUCUUUUAAUUCCCAUUCAUUUCUUAUUCUUCUUUAUUCUCGUUGAUCAUGUUCUCAGAGUCCUCAAGACUCAACAGCAUCUCGUAUAUUCCUGGUAAGAAGUAUAAUGGAUAGUGGUCACCCAAAAUACCACUUCCCUUUUUGCCACCCAGCUUAAAACAACAUAACACCUCCACCAAUAACAACAAUAUCUGGAUGGAACAAGGCAAGUCUGAAAACUUUCUAUAAUAUCCCUCGAUCAUCACCUUCCUUGUCUCAUAUUUGUAAACUCUUGUUUACUACCAUCGAUAAAUGCCGGAGGGAUAAACUUUUCCUUAAAACAAGUCCUUAAACAAUUUUAAAUCGGCUGUUCCUCCGGUGACAACAAUUAAUACUCCUGCUUCCAUCAGGAUACACGUUCAUAACUCAAACCAGGUAGUCAUCUCGACCCCUUGUCAGAAGGAAGAUUCCUUUGACUUGCAUAAUCCGAAACAUCUUUUCCAAAUGGUUAAACCGUUACUUCGCUCCCUCAGGUUCAUCAUUUCUCUUAAGUGAUUCAAAUUCAACUCAUAACCCAUCUUAAAAUGUCCCUUUUUAUAAUAGACUGAAUCACCCUAAUAAUAGUUUCCCCUAAACCGUUAUAUUAGGGAGACUAAAUUCCUCUAACUAAGUGGCUUGCUACGAGGCGGUGUAGUUCUGACAGAAUUCACUAGAACUUCUCAAAAUGUCCAAGAUUGCAACCAUGCUCUGAUACCAACUGACACACCCCGUCCCGAAGGAGGGCAUGCUGGCCGUCACGUGAGAGUGACGUAACCAUUUGCACAGUACGGAAGCUUUAAUUAUACAAUUUAUAAGUUGAUACACCCGAAGGUGAGUCCUAAUUUUGUCCAAUCUGUCAGAACCCCGCUGUAUUCCUCGUAGUCACCACACCUUUGUGAUUCCUGAACCUGGAGGGGCGCAAAACCAAAAUUGAGUGGGUCAGUAAAACAAUUCUUUUCCAAAUCCAAACAUUUCUCAAAACGUUGUAACCCCUCUCCGUAAAACCUGUAUACUUUCCCAGAAAUGUAAAAUAUAAAUAUACAUAUAUAUUCUCAAUACUUCAUUUCACUUUUUCAACAUUUUUCAUAUCAGUUAUGCCAUGCCACAUCAUCUCAACAUUUCUCAUAUUAAUUAUGCCAUGCCACAUCAUCUCAACAUUAAUAAGGUAUGAAUGCAUUAACAUAAUCAUAUCAGGUGCAAGAAAGUAAUCAACCGUAGGCCCUCUAAUAGCCCUGUACGGUUGAACCUAGAGCUCAAAAUCUAUCAUUAUCACUCUACCGAAGUCACCUCUGUGACCCGUCCGGCCUUCUGCACGCAAGUUACGCUCUAGUGCUUCUCAUAAAUCAUCUGUGCACAUAAUCUAAGGUCACCCACCAGUCGGAAUCUCACUAACACUCUCGCGACUGGUCUGUCGUACCCACUCCGCGUGGACUGUACGACUAGCAUCUACUUGGAUCCAAGGCGAGCGUGCGAUGCGGUGAAUACUAUAAGCACUAAACCAUGGUGCAGGAUUUGAGCUCAAUAUAUAUCAUCAUCAUCAUAACAGUAAUUAAAUACUCAUCUGUGCGUCCA
rnacentral:lncRNA from 1 species